GAAGAAAACAUCAACGUUCUGAAGUUUUAGAUAGGUGCACCAUCCCUUAUGGAUACCAAUCUGUGCUCCCCAUAAACUUCUGUGCCCAGGGUCAACUGGCCAGGGACAACUGGCUCACCAGGAGGCCUACAUAGCCUCUUCUUCAGGCCCUAAUUACAGCUCUAUGCAAUAGGGACUCUGCCAUCUGACAGCCAAGGAGGUGGUUCGGUUUCUGCACAUGGUUUUUUCCGCUGGGUCCCUUGAGGUCCAUGGUAACCUCUUCCUCAUUCUCUACAGGCAGAUCACACUUUGUAAUAAGAUCAGAGGCAGAGAACUUUGACCAGAUCACACUUUAUAAUAAGAUCAGAGGCAAAGAACUCUGACCAGAUCACACUUUAUAAUAAGAUCAGAGGCAGAGAACUUUGACAACUAUCUCCUUGCCCUCUGGCCCUGGGGUCAGGGCUACUCAAACAACACCUGCUGUCCCAAACCCGGAGAAGUGUAGAUUUUGGCACUGGUAGAGGAAUAACAGCUAUUGUUGACACUUAAUCUUGUGGGCCUGGAAUUUCAACUAUGUUUUCACAACUCGGAGCCUAUUGCUGCCACCUCUGUCAGGGAAGAUAAAUGGGCAUGAAUAAUAGACAGAUGAGUUUCCCAAAAGCCCAGACAGGCUGCAGGGAACACGUAAUGAGCAGACAGUGUGGUUCACGCCGGGGAGCCCAGGUUUAUCCAGGCCUCAUCCUCACUCCCUUUCUCUACUGAUAAUUGGACCCAACAGGACCAUUCCGAAUCAUUUUUCUCUCUUCAGUUAUUCUUCAGUUCUACUCAAAGGGUCAGUUUAGGGCAUAAUUAAAGUCAAUUACUUUCUGAAAGGCCAUCAGGACAACUGUUAGAGAAAAUGAUAGCAGCCCCGCACUUGCUGUAGGAAUUAUUAGCUUGUCAGCCUCCAGGCUUAUGGAGACAAAGGAUCAAAAAGUUAGAGAGAUCCAGGUGUUCACCUAUUUGUUCACUAAUUCUUUUAUUGUGAGUGUGCAUGUGUGUGGGUGGGUGUGACAUUUAUUAUGAACCAGAGGGCAGGAGCCAGUGACACAGUGGUGCAGAGAAUAAUCAUAUUCCCUGCCUUCCUGGGGUCAUACAGCUUGGUGGAGGACACAGAUGUGAAUUCGGUAAUCACUCCAAUAAAUAUUCUCCUACAGAUGAAGAAAGAUGAUACGAUGUGAUGGACAACAGAGACUUAUAUGGUGGGGUCUGGGCUGGUCUUUCUGAAGCUAAGACUGGCAGGAUGAGCAGGAGUUUGCCAGACAAAGAGGAGUGGAGUUGUUUUCCAAACACAUCUCAGCACAAAGUGUUGUCUUUGCUGGGAGCUGAAAAAAGAUAGUGUGGGCAGAGACCAUUAGGUGAGACGCUUGAUAUGAGAUACAACCUCAACAGGUGGAAGAAGAUCAUGAGAGAUGAAGAGAGGAAUAUAGUACAGCAGAGAGGACACAGAAGCUGACGUCAGGGUGUCUCAGUUUGAAACCAGUGGCCACCCUGUUCCUCUCCCAUGUGGUCCCAUCAUGGGCCUCUAGGGUCUGGGAUAAGAGGUUAAUGAAUAUCUCAUACCCUAAGCAGGGGUGGUCCCUGCACUUUAGCAAAAAGUUAAGGAACUAGGGAAAAGAGAUGGAAAUAAUAAAGAGAUGGGACAAAGACUUUGAAGACCAAAGCCCCUGGGCUAUUCUCUUUUUUAAAUUUUUUUAUUUAAAUUUUCAUUUAUUUUUAUCAAGAUAGGGUCUCACUAUGUUGCCCAGGUUGGUCUCAAACUUUUGGCCUAAAGCAAUCCUCCCACCUUGGCCUCCCAAUGUGCUGGGAUUACAAUGUGAGCCACCACGUCCAGCCUCCUGGGAUAUUUCUCAAUGAAACAUUGGAUGCCAAGAUUGGUUUUGUGCCACAUGCCAAUUUCACAGAAGCCAGUCUAUGAGCCACCAGCUCUACUCAGCAAUUACAGUUUCUGGAACUUUGGCUAAAUUCCUGUAGAUGCACCACUGCUUGUGGCCUGACUCUUUGCCACCCAAGUGCGCUCAGCCUCCCCUGGGGAGUCUGCCAGGCUUGCAUGGCUCCCACUGCACUUGCUGUGCUGGGACCGAAAACAGUUUUUGUGCCCCUAGCUUAACUCCACUGGAUUCAUAGAGGCUUUGGCCUCCUCAAUGGCUGUCCUGGGACAGGGAGGCUGGUUAGCACAAUUAACACAACCUGGUCAUGCAAGGCAUUGAUGGUCCGUAACAUGAACUUUGACCAGUAGGAGACAGAGAAUGGAAAAAAGCCAGCAGAUAAAUCAUCUGGCCUUCCUCCCCUAUGACAGACUGUUCUGAGCCACAGUGUUUCACAUGUCUUCCUGGAGAUGUCCCACAUGACUUGAGCAACCAGCUGGAGCUCUGGAGAAACUGUGGCCAUCCUGAGGAAGAAACAGGCCCAGAGAAGUUGGGUAACUCAUCAAAGGUCACAGAGCUAAGAGUGGCAGAGUCAGGCCUGGAGCCCAGGAAGUCUGGUUUCGAAUUUCAUGCUUCUAACCUGAGCACUGUACUGCUUGGUGGAGUUCUCUGCUAGUCCUACCUUUCAGGCAGAGGAGUUGAAGAGCAAUUCCCUCCAGUUUCCAUUAGAAAUGCUUCUUCUUCCAUAUCAAAUAUUGUGAGAUAGCCUGAAACACCUUUCAACACUUUACUACCCUUCUCCAAAAUUCAACAGAUAUGAUUUCCACGGACUUUACUCACAGGGGCUUCAGUAGAAGAGGAAGAGGCUUGGGUUUAAUUGAAGGUGGCCUGAGACAUCUGUGAGGAACAGCCCUUUUAGAGACAUAUCCCCUACAAAUAAAGCAUCAGAAUUAUUAUCCUAAUA
rnacentral:lncRNA from 1 species